UGGGGAAUAUUGGACAAUGGGGGCAACCCCUGAUCCAGCCAUGCCGCGUGAGUGAUGAAGGCCUUCGGGUUGUAAAGCUCUUUUGGCGGGGACGAUGAUGACGGUACCCGCAGAAUAAGCCCCGGCUAACUUCGUGCCAGCAGCCGCGGUAAGACGAAGGGGGCUAGCGUUGUUCGGAAUUACUGGGCGUAAAGCGAGUGUAGGCGGUUGCCGUAGUCAGGUGUGAAAGCCUUGAGCUCAACUCAAGAAAUGCACUUGAUACUGGGUGACUAGAGGACCGGAGAGGAUAGUGGAAUUCCCCAGUGUAGUGGUGAAAUACGUAGAGAUUGGGAAGAACACCAGUGGCGAAGGCGGCUAUCUGGACGGUUACUGACGCUAAGACUCGAAAGCGUGGGGAGCAAACAGGAUUAGAUACCCUGGUAGUCCACGCCGUAAACGAUGGGUGCUAGACGUUGGCGAGCUUGCUCGUCAGUGUCGCAGCUAACGCGUUAAGCAUCCCGCCUGGGGAGUACGGCCGCAAGGGUUGAAACUCAAAUGAAUUGCGGGGUCAUAGCUGUUUCCU
rnacentral:rRNA from 1 species